rnacentral:rRNA from 1 species
CCUACGGGUGACAGCAGUGAGGAAUAUUGGUCAAUGGACGCAAGUCUGAACCAGCCAUGCCGCGUGCAGGAAGACGGCUCUAUGAGUUGUCAACUGCUUUUGUACGAGGGUAAACGCAGAUACGCGUAUCUGUCUGACAGUAUCGUACGAAUAAGGAUCGGCUAACUCCGUGCCAGCAGCCGCGGUAAGACGGAGGAUUCAAGCGUUAUCCGGAUUUAUUGGGUUUAAAGGGUGCGUAGGCGGUCGGAUAAGUUAGAGGUGAAAUCCCGAGGCUCAACUUCGGAAUUGCCUCUGAUACUGUUCGGCUAGAGAGUAGUUGCGGUAGGCGGAAUGUAUGGUGUAGCGGUGAAAUGCUUAGAGAUCAUACAGAACACCGAUUGCGAAGGCAGCUUACCAAGCUACUUCUGACGUUGAGGCAUGAAAGCGUGGGUAGCAAACAGGAUUAGAGACCCGAGUAGUC